rnacentral:rRNA from 1 species
GCGUUGUUCGGAAUUACUGGGCGUAAAGGGCUCGUAGGCGGCCAACUAAGUCCGACGUGAAAUCCCCAGGCUUAACUUGGGAACUGCGUCGGAUAUUGGUUGGCUUGAAUCCGGGAGAGGGAUGCGGAAUUCCAGGUGUAGCGGUGAAAUGCGUAGAUAUCUGGAAGAACACCGGUGGCGAAGGCGGCAUCCUGGACCGGCAUUGACGCUGAGUGAGCGAAAGCCAGGGGAGCAAACGGG